rnacentral:rRNA from 1 species
GGAUGAAAGUGGGGGAUCGCAAGACCUCAUGCUCCUGGAGCGGCCGAUAUCUGAUUAGCUAGUUGGUGAGGUAAAGGCUCACCAAGGCGACGAUCAGUAGCUGGUCUGAGAGGACGACCAGCCACACUGGAACUGAGACACGGUCCAGACUCCUACGGGAGGCAGCAGUGGGGAAUUUUGGACAAUGGGCGCAAGCCUGAUCCAGCAAUGCCGCGUGAGUGAAGAAGGCCUUCGGGUUGUAAAGCUCUUUUGUCAGGGAAGAAACGGCUCGAGCUAAUAUCUUGGGCUAAUGACGGUACCUGAAGAAUAAGCACCGGCUAACUACGUGCCAGCAGCCGCGGUAAUACGUAGGGUGCAAGCGUUAAUCGGAAUUACUGGGCGUAAAGCGUGCGCAGGCGGUUUUGUAAGUCUGUCGUGAAAGCCCCGGGCUCAACCUGGGAAUUGCGAUGGAGACUGCAAGGCUUGAAUCUGGCAGAGGGGGGUAGAAUUCCACGUGUAGCAGUGAAAUGCGUAGAGAUG